UAGAAGUAGCACUAUAUUAACUCCAGCAGUUCAGUCCAUUAGUUGCUCAUUCUAGUUUCCUAAAAUCAUCACCAACUGAAAUGCAGGGAUUAGGUAGAAAAAAAAAAAGGUUAAUAAAAUGGUUGAGAUGUGAUCAAACUUGAAUCAGAGUCUUCACAAAUCUUGUCAAGCAAUCUCAGAUUGUUAUUCAAAUCCACCACUUAAACCUAAACACCACAAAUUCAUGUAUUGAAUGCAUCAGCUCUCAGGCACCAGAUGUUAGCCAUCUACAAAAUCUGACUCCCCAAUGCAAUGAAUUUCCCCAAAUCCCUCUGUGUUUGAGGGUAAAUCUUGGGAUUUUUCUAGGUCUGCCUCUUAAAUGUUUUCACAGGCCAAUGCAUUUUAGUAAGAUAGAGGGGUGACCUCCCAGCGAAAAUUCCUAUCAGAUGCUGAAAGAUGAUCUGCAACUUUUCCCCCCCACCUUUAAAAAAAAAAAAAAAAGAAAAGAAAAAAAAGAAAAGAAAAGCCUAGUUAGCUCCCUCCCACAGGCACCCACGUGUCUCUAUUUACUCUGCUCUGAUAGCUUACUGUACUAACAAGGCGUUCGAGCCGAAGGAGCCCCUAAGCAAAGAACAAGUUUGAUAAUGCACAGCACAUGGCUCCAAAAAGGGGGUUUUAUCUCAAGACGGGCUGGAGCACACGAGACAGACCGGGAGAGAGCCGACGCGGCCGUGCUGAAUCAAUCAUCCCGGGUCUCCCAACAGUGUGCGCCCAAAGUUGGGGGCAGAUCAAAGAACCGCCGGCCCUGAAUGAAGUAGUGCCAUUGCCCAGGCUCUGCACACAUCUCUCCGGUUUGCAAAGAAGGUCUAUUAACCCGAUCCAGGACCCUGCAGAACCAGAGAGGCCAGGCUGGAAUCAAGGUGCUUCAGAGCCCUAUAAUGAGCAAAACCGUGAAAAGGCGUGUUGGUCUUCCCUGGCCGAAGUCUCUAGAGCUGCCCCCUCCCAAGAUCCCUGAUCAGUGGGUCUCUGAACACUUCGUUGGCAUCAGGAACUGCACAGCAGCUGGCUGCCCUGCCCUCGGACCCCCUUACCUCAUGCCCAUUGCUGUUGGGGGUGAUCUCUGACUCGUUAACGAGAGAGGACUUGAUGUCGGCCAAAUCUCCUUCUUCCUCCGGGUGGCUGAUCUCCGCGAAGAUUUUCUCCUUCUGGGGAUCGCCUUCGUCUUUGAAAGGGAUCAUUUCAUCUGUGGCGCACAGCUCCGGAUCCCCCCCACCGCCUCCUCCGGCUCCCGGCAGCUGAGGCAUAAUUGCUCUUUAAUUCCUGCUCCGCCCGGGGAACAAUAAUAAUAAAAAGGAAGAAUAAUAAUAUUUAUUACGUCUUUACGAGCCGCUUGCCCUCGCUACUCUAAGCCUCCCCCUCUCCAUCCUACCCACCCCCCUCUUCCCGAAAGAGAGUAGAGGCCAGGCGGGCAUAGCCACCGGGGGAAAGGAGGGUCUGUCUGACUUGUCGGUCUGUCUGUCUGCUGCUGGGGGCGGGGGGUUACAUACACUUCCCCCCUCCCCCGGUUUCCGUUGUGUCUGCAAGAGGACAGAAGAGUUUGGAGAAGUUGGGGCCCUUCUGGAUCUGCUUUUAUCUUCUCCGGGGCUUCUUUAAAAGGAGAGGCUCCCCCCUCCCCGGUUCCCAUUCCCCCGCAAGCUACAGGGGGAGAGAAGAUCCCGCGAGCUCCAGCUCGUGCAGCAGCCAGAGGGGCGAGCCCGCUGCCUGGCAGAGCAGGAGCGUUCGCUGCAGCCCUGGCCCGCUGCCUCUCCGGUUCCAGCGCAGCCCCGGCGCUCAGGCUCUCCUUUCUUUGGGGGAAGGGGGCUACAAAGUUCGCCUCUAAAGUUAAGGGGGGGUCCCCGCCGGCCAGUCAGGGAGGUGGGGAAGACGAAGGAGGCCCGGAACGCGCUUCCACCGCCGGCUCGCAAUAACCGCCCCACGCGCAAAGCCAAACCCACCGAGACUCUUUGCUUUUGUCCUCUCCCGCCCGAGCUCUCCCCGGAGCGCCGCUCUCGCCUCUUCGCCGUGCCCGGCUGGCCCGGGCGGCGCGAGAGCCACGAGGAAAAGCAAAACCCCGGGCGCGGGUGUUGAAAUCACGGCGCACGCGGGCGGCGCGAGACAGGAAAAGUUCCCUCUCUCUCUCUCGGGGAGUCCCAGCGGACCAAGGCUCCUCCGCAUUCACAACCCCUAAAGGGUGCCAGCCCAGCCGCCGAGAGCCGCCCGCUGCAGGCCGGGGAUGGAGCACCCCAUGGAGGAGAGACACCCGGCAGCGGCGGCCCCUUUUGCCUCCCCCGGUGCCGCUGCUUCCUGGCUUUACGGGCGCCACCAGCAAUCCACACGCGCGCGGUCCCAGGGCACCGUCUCCCGCCUCUCCUGGGCUGGCCGACGGGAAGGUGGCGAGGCGCGGCUGGAAGCCUGUAGGACGAGUUCCCGUGGCCCGUGCGCGUCUCUCUCUCCCGGGGCAGGGGCAGGCAGAAAGUGGAGAGGGACGGACCGAGCGCGCCCGCCAGAGCGAAGUGGGAGCCAGUCUCUGUAAUGUAACUUUAACAUCCCCUCCACCCACUCCGCCCCCCGCCCCCGCCUUCUCUCUGUGGACUGGGGGGGGGGGAGAUGAAAGAGAAGCCGCCGCUCUGAUUGACAGCACAUUGAUAGACACUCUGGAGAGGGAAGGGAAAUGGAUCCGCGCCGCAGCCCGGCUUAGCUAGCUCGAGUGCGAGCCGCCAAGCAGCGGAGAGAGCUGCUGCAGCCUUCUCGUUAAAUACAAAGAAGUCGCCUCGGCUGUCACAAGCCAGUAACGAGGAAUCGGUAAAGCGAUCGAUUCGUUCAGUUCCAGGGCAGAAAGGGGGGGAGAGGAUAGAAAGUGAAGCGAUCUGGGGGGAGGGGAGAGGGACACUUUUUUUAAAAAAAAAAUCUGUCUUUUUUUUUGAAAGUGCAGAACUACUGCAUGAUGCAGACCUUCGGUAGCCUGCAUUUAGCCAGUGAUGAUUUUGCAAGUUCUCAGCAUCUUGCGGUAACACUGAUUAUUUCUAUAAUGCAGAGCCGCCAAGGGCGGGGGGAGGCUGUGAAGGGAAUUACUACUCUAGGGGGUGGAGGUUUAUAAUUCACCCAAAACGGAACACACACACCCCGAAGAGGGCAAAGAAUAGCUAUCUAAACAUCCCCAGACAAAUCUGUAACAAGGAUGUGUUUAGGAUGCUUUGUUAAGACUUCCCCUUUUCCGAGACAAGGGGGGAUGCACACGCAUUAGAUUGUUCGCAGGGGGAAAGGGAAGCUAAAUAUUUUUUAAAAAAAAAUUUGCAGUAAUUUCAGAUGAAGGGCAGAGUUAUUAGAUCGUCAUUAAACAUAGCAAUCCAGCAACUGACGAAGAGAAGUACCUGGCUAGUAGUCCUUGGACAGACAAUGAGAUAAACAGGUAUCAGGGGCUCACGUUUCAAGUCAUCAAAAUAAACUCUAAUAAAAAUUUUAGGAAUAGCAAGAGACAAUCAACUCUCCUCCCUAUCCCAUUCAUUUAGAAUUUUUAUUGUUAGCCCUAUGUAUUAAACAGCAUCCAGGGUAUCUGUAUAAAACACCCAGCGUUCAGGGCAUUUGGAAAUGUCAUUAAUAUGCAUUUACUCUGAUUAUCCUAUCUAUGUGGUGUCGUAAACACAUGUUGUGCAGGAA